rnacentral:rRNA from 1 species
CGGAGGCAGCAGUGGGGAAUAUUGGUCAAUGGAGGGAACUCUGAACCAGCCAUGCCGCGUGCAGGAAGACAGCCCUCUGGGUCGUAAACUGCUUUUAUUCGGGAAUAAACCACAUUACGUGUAAUGUGCUGAAUGUACCGAAGGAAUAAGGAUCGGCUAACUCCGUGCCAGCAGCCGCGGUAAUACGGAGGAUCCAAGCGUUAUCCGGAUUUAUUGGGUUUAAAGGGUGCGUAGGCGGCUUUUUAAGUCAGGGGUGAAAGACGGUAGCUCAACUAUCGCAGUGCCCUUGAUACUGAAGAGCUUGAAUGGACUAGAGGUAGGCGGAAUGUGACAAGUAGCGGUGAAAUGCAUAGAUAUGUCACAGAACACCGAUUGUGAAGGCAGCUUACUAUGGUUUAAUUGACGCUGAGGCACGAAAGCGUGGGGAUCAAACAGGAUUAGAAACCCCAGUAGUCCU